GUGUGUGUGUGUCCAGGCCAUAGACAGGGGUGUGUGUGUGUCUCUGUGUGUGUCUCUGGUGUGGAGGUGUCCUACUCUGCAGCCAUCAGAGACUCCACCAGGAGGCGCUACACCAUCACCACCACUGUGUGUCUGAUGGAGAUGUGGAAAGGGAAGGCCCGCCCUCUUCUGUCCCAACCCACUUCCUGUCCCUGUGACAGGACGUCCUGAUUGGCUGUGUCCUGACUCACCUCUUUGUGUUUCAGAGUGUGAUCCUGUCCAGCGCCGCGGAGAAGCCUCUGGAGCUCAGAGGGCCCUAUGACAUCACCAACCUGCAUCCUUCCUAUUGGUUCAGACACAAACUGUAGUCUUCAACAAAAACUACAGUACUACAGCACUCGUCUCCUCCACCUGUCGAUCUGUUGUUCUACACACAGAAACCAGGAAGACGG